AGUGAACGCUGGCGGUAGGCCUAACACAUGCCAGUCGAACGGCAGCACGGUAAGAGCUUGCUCUUACGGGUGGCGAGUGGCGGACGGGUGAGGAAUACAUCGGAAUCUACUUUUUCGUGGGGGAUAACGUAGGGAAACUUACGCUAAUACCGCAUACGACCUACGGGUGAAAGCAGGGGAUCUUCGGACCUUGCGCGAUUGAAUGAGCCGAUGUCGGAUUAGCUAGUUGGCGGGGUAAAGGCCCACCAAGGCGACGAUCCGUAGCUGGUCUGAGAGGAUGAUCAGCCACACUGGAACUGAGACACGGUCCAGACUCCUACGGGAGGCAGCAGUGGGGAAUAUUGGACAAUGGGCGCAAGCCUGAUCCAGCCAUACCGCGUGGGUGAAGAAGGCCUACGGGUUGUAAAGCCCUUUUGUUGGGAAAGAAAAGCAGCAGGUUAAUACCCCGCUGUUCUGACGGUACCCAAAGAAUAAGCACCGGCUAACUUCGUG
rnacentral:rRNA from 1 species